UCGUAACACGGCAAUUAAAAACACACAUGCCCGCCAAAUAACUACGAGUGAAAACUUAAAACUUAAAAGACUUGACGGUACUUCACACUCAACCUAGAGGAGCCUGUCUACUAACCGAUAACCCACGAUUAAUCCAACCACUUCUGGCCACACAGCCUAUAUACCGCCGUCGCCAGCCCACCUUGUGAAAGAAACUAAGCGGGCAGAACAGUCUUACACUAAUACGACAGGUCGAGGUGUAGCUUAUGCAGUGGAACAAGAUGGGCUACAUUAUCUAAUACAGAUCAAACGGACAAAGCUAUGAAACCCAGCUCUAAAAGGAGGAUUUAGCAGUAAGAUGAGAACACAAUACUCAACUGAAAUUAUCGCAAUGAAGUGCGUACACACCGCCCGU
rnacentral:rRNA from 1 species